GUAACAGGUCGUAGACCCGAAACCAGGUGAUCUACCCAUGUCCAGGAUGAAGGUAAGGUAAUACUUACUGGAGGUCCGAACCCACGCACGUUGAAAAGUGCGGGGAUGAGGUGUGGGUAGCGGAGAAAUUGCAAUCGAACUUGGAGAUAGCUGGUUCUCUCAGAAAUAGCUUUAGGGCUAGCCUCGAGGUAAAGAGUCAGGGAGGUAGAGCACUGUUUGGACUAGGGGCCCUUCUCGGGUUACCGAAUUCAGAUAAACUCCGAAUGCCAUGUACUUAUACUCGGGAGUCAGACUGCGAGUGAUAAGAUCCGUAGUCGAAAGGGAAACAGCCCAGACCACCAGUUAAGGUCCCCAAAUAUAUGUUAAGUGGAAAAGGAUGUGGGGUUGCUUAGACAACCAGGAUGUUGGCUUAGAAGCAGCCACCAUUGAAAGAGUGCGUAAUAGCUCACUGGUCGAGUGACCCCGCGCCGAAAAUGUACCGGGGCUAAACAUAUUACCGAAACUGUGGAUGAACCUCUUUAGAGGUUCGUGGUAGGAGAGCGUUCUAAGGGCGGUGAAGUCAGACCGGAAGGACUGGUGGAGCGCUUAGAAGUGAGAAUGCCGGUAUGAGUAGCGAAAGAAGGGUGAGAAUCCCUUCCACCGAAUAUCUAAGGUUUCCUGAGGAAGGCUCGUCCGCUCAGGGUUAGUCGGGACCUAAGCCGAGGCCGAUAGGCGUAGGCGAUGGACAACAGGUAGAGAUUCCUGUACCAGUGCUAAUUGUUUAACCGAUGGGGUGACACAGAAGGAUAGGGAAUCGCACGAAUGGAAAUGUGCGUCCAAGCAGUGAGUGUGAGAAGUAGGCAAAUCCGCUUCUCGCGAAGCAUGAGCUGUGAUGGGGAAGGAAAUUAAGUACGGAAGUUCCUGAUUUCACGCUGUCAAGAAAAGCCUCUAGGAAGAGUAGUACUGCCCGUACCGCAAACCGACACAGGUAGAUGAGGAGAGAAUCCUAAGGUGAGCGAGAGAACUCUCGUUAAGGAACUCGGCAAAAUGACCCCGUAACUUCGGGAGAAGGGGUGCUCUAUUAGGGUGCAAGCCCGAGAGAGCCGCAGUGAAUAGGCCCAGGCGACUGUUUAGCAAAAACACAGGUCUCUGCAAAACCGUAAGGUGACGUAUAGGGGCUGACGCCUGCCCGGUGCUGGAAGGUUAAGAGGAGUGCUUAGCUUCGGCGAAGGUACGAAUUGAAGCCCCAGUAAACGGCGGCCGUAACUAUAACGGUCCUAAGGUAGCGAAAUUCCUUGUCGGGUAAGUUCCGACCCGCACGAAAGGCGCAACGAUCUGGGCACUGUCUCAACGAGAGACUCGGUGACAUUAUAGUACCUUUGAAGAUGCAGGUUACCCGCGACAGGACGGAAAGACCCCGUGGAGCUUUACUGCAACCUGAUAUGGAAUGUUUGUACCGCUUGUGCA
rnacentral:rRNA from 1 species